ensembl:lncRNA
CAGCUGGCGGGGCUCCGGGAAGCUAGUCCGGAGCGGAGGAAUCUAUUGUUAUUUAUUGUGUGGCGGUUGCAUGCUGUACUCGCGGCGGCCCGGCCCUCGCCUGGGAGUGCGUGUGUGCGCGCGUGUGUGCGCGAGUGUGUGUGUGCGCGGGGUGCGCGCGCGGGCGGGAGUAGGCACGCGCGGGGAAAGGCCCGAAAACACCUUAGUUUGCACCGAGAGACCAUUUGGAGCGGAACCCGAAAGUUUGCAAGAGGAAGAGAGCGCGCGGCGAGCGAGCGGGAAAGGGGUAGCGGCCGCGGCUCCGGGGACCAUGGUGCUGCGGAAGCCUCCUCCGCGGGCGUGAAGGCGGCGCUUCCACUCCCUCCCCGGGCUUCGAGGGAUGAGUCUGCUCUGGGAUCCUCUCCUGAGAUGGGCCUAGGCUGGGCUGCCUGUCCCUAGGCAAGAACAAAGAUCAUUUUAGGGGCAGGUGACUUAACAUCUCUGAGCCGCAAAUUCUUCCUUUGCAAAAGAGACAUACCUACAUCAGAGCACUGUCAUGAGAAGCCCAGUGAGGAAUUAUGGCAAAGACUGAAUGCUGUAUUGGCACGAAGGAAAUGUUGGAGAAACGGCAGCUAUUACUGUCAUCAUUGUGGCUGGCAGAUCCCCCUACUCCUACCUGAGGCUUAGGGCAGUAUUGUUAAGACUAAUUUAGUUCCCAGAAAAGAUGUGUUAAUUGGAUUAUUACAUUUUUCCUGUGUUUACACUAUAUGUACAUGCAUGACUUUGAAAUCUACACAGUUAUAUACUUAUCCAUUGAAUUCUCUCUUUUAAAAAUGUGUAAGAAUUGCAUUUUUGAGUCAUUGAACUAUAAUGAAAUUGUUUUUUCACAGAAAGAAUGUUACAAGUAAUCAUCAUAUAGGCCACCAAAAUGGAGAAUAAUGUAGAAAUGGAAGUUAAGAGAAAACCAAAAGAGAGACCUAAUGUUAAUACGUGGCCAGAAUGCAUAUUUUUAUAGCCUGAUUAUUUAAAAAUACUGGCGUUUGCUUGUACUGUUUAGGGUUGGAUGAUACAAAUGAAGCUGUUUGGGAUUGGAAUAAAUAUUUUUUUGACUAAUGCUAUAACUUGUAGACUUGUAAUCAGGAGUGGCUUAUCAGCAGCUUUUCAAAAUGUGACAUUGUACAUGGAAUGCCCCCAUGGAGGAAAUUGAACGCUCUGUUAAUGCUUUUACAGUUGAAUUCCACACACAUGAAUUAUGACAAGUGAGGCUGACUACAUUGUGGUUUGUUGUGUCUGGUCUGGUUCCUACUUUUAAAGUUGCAGUUGCAUUUGGUCAUUUGAAGCUUAUUUUCACAGUCUGGCCAAGCCAGCAGGGUCUCAGGUCUCUGCAGGGGACAUAAACCGCCUGCCUUUAAGUUAGAGUGCUCAGUAGAUAAGCAUUUCAAGACUUCAUUGCAUCAUACAAAAGGACUUAUGGGCUUAUUUAACAUACACUAUUUGACUUAAUUUAGAUAUUUAAUGGAAAGAAAAGCCUUUUAUUAUCACCAAAGGAAAGAACUGCCAAACAUUUGGAGGCUCAGUUGAAAUAUUGUAACGGAUGUACAGAGUGCAAAUAUAUUUCACUGCCUUACAUAAUGGGGUGUUUAAUAAUAGUUGUUUCUUUAAAUUUAGCACAUGUAUCUCAGACAUUUGCACUUUGUAAAUUAUAUGCUGUGGUUCAAGAAACUCAAUUUUUAAGAAAUUUGUUUUAAUGAAGUAUAUACUCAUAUUUUAAAAUGACCUUCAACUUUGGUUUAUGUUUAUUUCAUGAGCCCAGAUUUGAGGAGUCCAUGCCAGGAAUGAACACUUUCCAUCCUAUCUUUUUUAGUAACAUGAGUAUGAGCAACAGCUGGGUUUGCUGAUCUGAUUGGCCAAGGCGUUCUUGAAUGUGUCACUUGGUAGGCAUCAGUCCCCUCUGCCAGUCAGGGCCAAGGAGCAGUGGGGUGGUUACCUAUGGUCCUGGUGGAGGGGCUACACAUGGAGGUCUAGAAGGAAGCUUUUCCACCUGGUCGCAGUUUUGUGACUGUCUUCUAGAUGCACUGUGCUAGGUAUUAUGGCCAGAGCCCAGGAUCCACUGAUUCUCCAUUUGGGGUCUGCUCCUACUCUUCCAGGAGCUGAGGGACCUUUAUGGGUUAAAUAUUGGUCCCCUCCCUCUCAAAAUCGUAUUGGGCCCCUAACCCCUACUACUACCUCAGAAUGUGACUAUAUUUGGAGAUAGGGUCUUUAGAUUGGCAAUUAAGAUAAAAUGAAGUCAUUAGGGUGAAUCCUGAUGCAGUAUGAAUGGUGUCUUUAUGAGAAGAGACAAGGACACAGACACACAACACACACGCACACACACACAGGACAACCACUUGAAUACAGGGAGAAGAUGUCCACCUACAAGCCAGUGAAGAGGCAGGGCCUAGAAGGAAUCACCCAGCCAACACUUUGAGUUUGAACUUCUCACCUCCAGAACAAUGAGAUGAUAAAUUUCUGUUGUUUGAGCCAUUGGUGUGGGGUACGUUGUUAUGGCAACUAGAUGUAGGAGCAAAUCAGAAUCUACCUCAGGGCACAUGCCAUUUGAAAAGUCUAUUCCAUAUUAUAAUACAGUCUUUAAAUAUAGAAAUGAAGGCAAGAAAACCUUUAUGGGGAGAAAACCUAAAAGAUGGACAAAUUCCAUACACAGAGCCAUAUUAGCAAAUUCUGAAGUAGUAAUUGCAGGUGACAUUGAACACUCACAGUGGGCUGGAUUUGUAUCUGAGGUCCUGCAAGUAUUACCUCUUUUAGUCCUCAGCACAUUCUGUGUACUAGGGGCUGUUGUCAUCUCUGACAUGACAGUGAGGGACACUGAGGCAAAGGAGGUUAGUGACAUCCUUGAUACUUUGGAGCCAGCCAGCUGGGAUGCAUAGCAAGGCACCAGCCCCUAGAGCUCAUCCCAGCUGUUGCUUUGCAGCCCUGUGAGAUUGGAGUGGGUGAGAGGAGGCCUGGCUUGGAGAAUCAGAUCUGAGUAUUGGUGAGCAGA